UACAGAGGGUGCGAGCGUUAAUCGGAAUUACUGGGCGUAAAGCGCACGUAGGCGGCUUGGUAUGUCGGGUGUGAAAUCCCCGGGCUCAACCUGGGAACUGCAUCCGAAACUGCCUUGCUAGAGUAUGGGAGAGGGAAGUGGAAUUUCCGGUGUAGCGGUGAAAUGCGUAGAUAUCGGAAGGAACAUCAGUGGCGAAGGCGACUUCCUGGACCAAUACUGACGCUCAGGUGCGAAAGCGUGGGGAGCAAACAGGAUUAGAUACCCCCGUAGUCC
rnacentral:rRNA from 1 species